rnacentral:tRNA from 1 species
CCUCGUGGUGCAAACUGUUAAUGCACUUGGCUACUAACCAGAAGGUUGGUGGUUUGAGUCCACCCAGGGGCA